GAAUGUGUCUGACCAAAAAACUCUAAAGACUCACUACAGCCAAGAUAAAGACACAACUCAGCUGCACCAAAUCCACUAAUCACUGCACACAUUAGCACCAUGUGCUAACUGUGGCUAUAGAACCACCUUUACCAAGACAACUAUCCAGUACAAAGCCCUAAAACACACCAAGAAACACAUUAAAGACGAUUUUACUGCUGGAAGCUGCAAGCCAACGCCUAAAGAACAAACUGCAGCAACAGAGCCAAACCCGGUUCUGUGGUGAAGAGAAGCAGAGGAAAUGUUUGUCUGCAGCUAAAUAAUGCAGGGAAGACACUGAGCUGCUCAGGUGUUCCUGAUAACACCAAGCAGCCACCUGGACAGCCAAUAGGAACACAGCUUACUGGAAGUCCAGAGGGCUGGCUUAGUGAAGGAAAUUUAAUUUCAAGUUGAGGCAGAAAGUUAACAAAGAAAGUGGAAAACCACCUUCUGAUACCUGAAAUCUCUGAGUUUUUCACACAAAGAACGCCUGAACAUGUCAAACUGGCUUCAUAGUAGAACCAUCAUUGUAAAAACGUCACAGUAUGGUGUGUUGCUCAAAAAACAUUACGACUCGGCUGUCUAGUGUCGCCGAGGAGCAACACAAAAACAGGACAAACGCUGGUUUCCUGGGGGUUAGGUGGCUAUUUAUUUUAAAGAGUAAGUUUACAACAACACAACAUGUGAGCAGAAAAAUCACAAAAUCUGUCUUUAGUUCAGCUGAAAAUAUUAGUUUUUGUCUUUUUUAUUGACCAAACUUUUCAGGAAGUAGAUGAAGAAUAAUUAAAGCUCUCAUGUAGAAGUCCAACUUAUUUUGGAUCCUUGUGGAGAGUUUAAUCUUAGAGUUUGUAAAGCUGUUGAGUUUUUAGAGUCACAUGGAUUGUUUUGACAUUUAAUAACCGAGUCCUGAAAUAAAAUUACAGUUGUGGAUUUCUGUCAUUUAGUCUGGACUAAAAAAAUAACAGCAGCAUAAAUCUCAAACGUCUUUAUGAGGAGUCUGGAUUGAGGUUUCUCACUUGAUAAUGAUCAAAACAUGAAAUUUAGGUUGGUUUAAAGGAAUAUUCCACCUUAAAUCUUUGAAUGUUGACCGAAAAGGUUGGUUUCAGGAAGUAUCCCACCUACAAGGUCCUCAAACUUCCACCUUAAAGGAACAUUCCACCAAAAAUCCUUGGACAUGCACCUAAAAUGUUGGUUUUACCGAGAAUUCCAUCCAAAAUCCUCAAAGAGACCUGAGGGGCUGGUUAAAAGGAAUAUUCCACCUAAAACCUCAAAUAUAGACCCGAAAGGGUGGUUUAGAAAAAAUCCUUCAAUGUAGAUCAAAAAAGUUAGUAUGGAGGAAUAUUCCACCUGAAAUGUAGACCUGAGAAGUUGGUUCAGAAGAAUAUACCAUCCUAAACAUCCUUAAAUGUAGACUAAAAGACAGUUUGGAAGAAAAUUCCACCUAAAAUCCUCCAAUGUAAACCUAAAAGGUGAGUUUAACGGUAUAUCCCACCUAAAAUUCACUACUGUAGACCUUGGAGGUUGGUCUGAUGGUAUAUUCCACCCAACAUCCUUGAACAUAAACUUAAAAAGUUCGUUCAACGGAAUAUUCCACCUAAAAUCUUUCAAUGUAGACCAAAAAAUCUUGGUGUAAAGGAGUAUUCCACCUUAAAUGUAGACCUAAAGGAUGGUUUGGAGUAAUAUUCUACUCUAAAAUCUUCCAAUGUAGACCUAAAAGGUUGGUUUAAUGGUAUAUUCCCAGCAGAACCCUUGAACAUCAGGCUUAAUGGUAUAUUCCACCCAAAAUACUUGUACAUAUACCAAGAAGUCAGUUUAAAGGAAAUGUAGACCUAAAAGGAUUGUUUAAAGGAAUAUUUAAACGAUUAUUUUCAUUAUUUAAUAAUCUGUUAUCAGUCAGAACCCUGGCAAACUUAUUUUCAUCAGUUUUCUUAGUGGAAGUCACAAAUAAAGGACCUCUUGUUUUUUACCAGCGUUACUGAGUCAAAAGCUGCUGUUUCAACACAGACACGUUCACAUGCAUCCUCAAACCUCUCAGCACUCAAACACCCACAGACAGGAGGCCGGCUGGGCCGAGGCUCGGCAGCGUCCUCAGACCCACGAGUCGGUGAACUUGUUGGUCCAGUUUGAAGGCCUCCGUGUGGUCCAGUAGAAGUCCACGUAGUCGGUGUUGGCUUUGAACCGCAGCGAUUGGCCGGCAUCAGGUGGACCGGCUCGUCCUCGUAGGGCUCCUUCUGUAGCCUUGAGGGAACCACAGGAACAUUCAGUAGCUGUUGGAGUUCUUCCUGUCAGGCUCGUGGUAGAACGGCUCUGAAGUAUCUUGUACUUGUCUUAUCUGGAACAAUCUAACAGUCUAAACUGUUAACAGCGAUGUAAAGAAGCAAACACACAGGCAUAGAUUAGGACUCAAACUAGAUUUAUUUUAGAAAACAAAUCAGCUUAGAGGCAUUUGUUCACACAUGUGGCUGAAUAGGAGGCCGUCCAAUCAGAUUUGAGGUCUUCACUCUGUAGGUUGUUUGUUUGAUGACACUCUUGGACCUCCAUCAGCUGAUGUGGAUGUCUGAUGGUCUUCCUCUCUAGUGCCAGAUGAUUCAUCCAUGAAUUCAGCAGCUACAGACUGAAAUGAAGCUCAUACUGCCGUUACUGAAUUCCUGUUCCAGAUCAAAUGUUCAGAGCUCACCUUGAAUGCAGCCGUCUGCUGUCUGAUAGUUUUUCUCAUUGUAGUCUUCAAUAAAGUCUUUUUCCUCAUGUCA